GAUGAACGCUGGCGGCGUGCUUAACACAUGCAAGUCGAACGAUGAAGCCCAGCUUGCUGGGUGGAUUAGUGGCGAACGGGUGAGUAACACGUGAGUAACCUGCCCUUAACUCUGGGAUAAGCCUAGGAAACUGGGUCUAAUACCGGAUAGGAGCGUCCACCGCAUGGUGGGUGUUGGAAAGAUUUAUCGGUUUUGGAUGGACUCGCGGCCUAUCAGCUUGUUGGUGAGGUAAUGGCUCACCAAGGCGACGACGGGUAGCCGGCCUGAGAGGGUGACCGGCCACACUGGGACUGAGACACGGCCCAGACUCCUACGGGAGGCAGCAGUGGGGAAUAUUGCACAAUGGGCGAAAGCCUGAUGCAGCGACGCCGCGUGAGGGAUGACGGCCUUCGGGUUGUAAACCUCUUUCAGUAGGGAAGAAGCGAAAGUGACGGUACCUGCAGAAGAAGCACCGGCUAACUACGUG
rnacentral:rRNA from 1 species